UGCAGGCCUGCUUUUGAAUAAAACUUUCUCUUUCUUCAGCAGCUGAAAGUUUGUGGAGAUUUUGAUGAUAUAAAUGAAAGGCACCUUGUCCAUGCACCAGAGCAGCUCACAAGGCUUUGCUGGAAACGGUGGACUGAGGCAGAUUGUUCUACAAUGCUGGACAGCUUCCAAGGCAUUUCCUUCAGUGCACCUGUGCUCCAGUCUUUCUGUGUGUGAAUGAUGGGACAUUGAAGAAGAACAUGAUUGUGGGUAAAUAAGCUCAAAACAUCAUGGAAGCUGUGACCAGGUACUGUUUGCUUUUACCUCUGUUUAAUUUCUACAAAAGUGUUCUGACAGCAAACCUUUUAUGAGCUUGGGGUGUGAGCAGAAAAAAUGGGUAAGUCUUGUACUGCUUGCCUAUUAAUUAUUGGCCACAAAUAUACUGAGAGUGUUCUUAUAAUGGAAUUUCAAAAUGAAUCUAGAACUUUAUUCCUCCCGCUGUAACUCCUUUCUAGGAUGGUCUGAAGAGGAUUUUUGGUUUUUUCUUUUGUUUCUUUCUUAUUGUUAGUCACAGUCACUUUGGUAUAUAGAUGUGUGCUAAUUAUCCUCUAUCAGUCCAUUUAAAUAAUUUACUGUGUAAGAGUCUCAAAGGACUCUCUGGGUGGCAGGUUUGA
rnacentral:lncRNA from 1 species